CAGUAGCCACGGUAAUACGGAGGGUGCAAGCGUUAAUCGGAAUUACUGGGCGUAAAGCGCACGCAGGCGGUUUGUUAAGUCAGAUGUGAAAUCCCCGGGCUCAACCUGGGAACUGCAUUUGAAACUGGCAAGCUAGAGUCUCGUAGAGGGGGGUAGAAUUCCAGGUGUAGCGGUGAAAUGCGUAGAGAUCUGGAGGAAUACCGGUGGCGAAGGCGGCCCCCUGGACGAAGACUGACGCUCAGGUGCGAAAGCGUGGGGAGCAAACAGGAUUAGAUACCCGUGUAGUCCCUGUCUCUUAUAC
rnacentral:rRNA from 1 species